rnacentral:lncRNA from 1 species
UCGAUCUCAGUACGCGGGGCGUACGAAGGUACGCAGGGCGUACUUCGGUCCAAUCCGAUGACUCCCCUUCGGAUAUUACCGGGAAUUUAUAAUUAAAUUCUUAUUUAUUUUAAAUAAACUUCAAAAAUUCAUAUCUCUCUCAUACGAACUCCGUUUUUGACGUUCUUUAUAUCCAUGCGAAGGUGAGACCAUGAUCUACAACUUUCGUUUAGAUUCCGUUGGCUAAUUCCGAAAUUAUUUUUAUUAUUUAUUUAUUAAAAUGACGUGAUUAAGGAAUUUCUUCAAAAAUUCAUAACUUCCUCAUCCGAAGUCAGAUUUGGACGUUCUUUUUAUGUACGCAAACCUUGAUAUGAUACCUAUUACUUUAUUUAAUCCGAAUAAGUUUUUAGGAAAGUUACAUUUUGACCUAAAUUUGAUCGGUUUUACAUUACAUUGACUCAAAAUAUCGGGUUGUCACAACUGCCACAAACUCCACCACCUAUUAUCAUAGUUUAACCAUACUCAUAAGUUCCCAACUCUUCAAGGUACCCCAUAGGUCAACUAGUCAACCCCUGGUCCAAGUCAAAGUCAACAGUCAAGGUCAACAGUCCAUGUUGACCCUCACUCGUCGAGUACCCUCGGCUGCUCGCCGAGUUCCUCGAGAUACUCAUUCACUAGCCGAGUCUCCGAAGUGACUCGUCAAGUUCCUAGGGUUCGCGAUCAAACCCUAAGGCCACUCGUCGAGUUUCCUUCUUGCAACUUGACAGGUUCACACGCAUUCAUCAAUUUGGGGAAACAUUAACCGACUCACCGAGUUGUUCAUCCAAUUCGUCGGGUCUACGGUAAUCUUCAUCGGAGUCGCCGAGUUGUUCUUCCAACUCGUCGAGUUCAAUGCAUAUCUUCAUAUGACUCGCCGAGUCGACUAUGCGACUCGCCGAGUCCCUUCAGCCCUUUAACCAUGUAGACACUUUUUAAGCCAUGCCAAGGCCCCAAAUUGCAGAUCCAACUUCCUUAGGCAUGAUUAUCACGUAAAGUUACAAACUUUACGUGCAUGCAAGGCUUUAAGACCCUAAAAUGGAACAACUAAGCUUGCAAUGAAGUCACAUCCUUGGGGGAAGGCUCAUACUAGACAAGGCUGAUGGGUUUAUGAAUCUAGAAGCCAAGGGGAGUCCAUAUCUGAAGUUACAACUUUAGAUCUUGGCUUAAACACAAGAACCCUUUCCUAAACUCAUGCAUAAAAGAGUUUAGGAGAAAAUGAGCCAAGGGAAAACGAUCUAAUACCUUCAAGAGAGCCCUUUCUGAUGCAGAACUUGAAACCCUCAAACUUUUGCUUCAACUAGCUUGCUUCCCCAAGUGAUUCCUUCACCAAAACCUCCCUCCAAGCUUAAACCUCCAAAGAAUACACACACACUCGAGUUAGGGCCUUUCUGGACUCUCAAUGGACUGUAAAGAGGCCAAAGGAGGCUUAUGCUUCUUUAAAUAGGGUGCAAAACCCCGACAUUUAGGGUUUCAUCUGCCAGCUCCUACUCGUCGAGUCCCUUCUUGGACUCGGCGAGUAGGUCACUAAAACACGUGGACCAACCCGCUGCUACUCGACGAGUAGGGCAACCAACUCGUCGAGUAGACCCAAAGACCAAAAAGAUUCAACAUAACUCAAUACCUGAAAAUUGGGGCGUUACACAUAUAUUAAUUUUAUAAAUAUAAUAAACAAUAACAUGAUUUUGAGCUUCCAAAAUUCUUCAAAAAACAUGUUUUUAAGUUGUUAGUAUAAUGUUUUUACGAUGUCAUAACUUUUUUAUUUUUAACAUGUAAAAUUCUUUUAUAAAUAAUUAUUUGUUAUCUAAAAAAUAGUUUCUUUUAGCCUAAAUAACAACUUCUUUAGCCCAAAAAAGGCAGCCCAAAAUCAAUCAGGGGCNNNNNNNNNNNNNNNNNNNNNNNNNNNNNNNNNNNNNNNNNNNNNNNNNNNNNNNNNNNNNNNNNNNNNNNNNNNNNNNNNNNNNNNNNNNNNNNNNNNNNNNNNNNNNNNNNNNNNNNNNNNNNNNNNNNNNNNNNNNNNNNNNNNNNNNNNNNNNNNNNNNNNNNNNNNNNNNNNNNNNNNNNNNNNNNNNNNNNNNNNNNNNNNNNNNNNNNNNNNNNNNNNNNNNNNNNNNNNNNNNNNNNNNNNNNNNNNNNNNNNNNNNNNNNNNNNNNNNNNNNNNNNNNNNNNNNNNNNNNNNNNNNNNNNNNNNNNNNNNNNNNNNNNNNNNNNNNNNNNNNNNNNNNNNNNNNNNNNNNNNNNNNNNNNNNNNNNNNNNNNNNNNNNNNNNNNNNNNNNNNNNNNNNNNNNNNNNNNNNNNNNNNNNNNNNNNNNNNNNNNNNNNNNNNNNNGGCGGGGGCGGGGGAUGCACUCCCCAUCCCGUUUGCCCUCGUUGACAUCCUUAUUAUUAAUGAACGGUUAAUAAUCAUCCCUUGAUUUUAUAUAUGUAUAAAGGAGAAUGAUGUUGUUAGGCUCAAUUUCAAGCAUAGUAUCAACAUGUUUUUUCCUUAGCUUUUCACAUAUAUUGCAUGCAUAUCAAUGUCUAUUUGGUGUUUUGACGUGUUGAAACAUCCCAAAAUUCAAGACCAGAAGUUUCUUUUUAAUAAAACAUUACUUUAAACAAAGACAUCAUUCCAAAACAUCAUCUGAGUAUAAGUUUUCAAAACACUUGUUUAUUAUCAGAGUAAACAUUCCCAGGCUGACUAAUCUAUGGUGUGUGCCAUGCGAUCACCCCGAGCUCCUCCCUCCGCUACCGGAAGUACCUGAAAACAAAACUGAAAACCGUAAGCACGAAGCUUAGUGAGUUCCCCACCUUACCACAUACCAUGCAUAACCACAUACUGCACAUACUGGGCCACGCCCGCUAUCCGGGGCCUCGCCCCCUACUUCGGGCCUCGCCCGCUACAACGGCCCCGCCGCUCCAGGCCCCGCCUGGCUUCGAGCCUCGCUCGGAUACAGAUCUGUUUCACUUAGGCCUCGCCUGUCACAGGGCCUCGCCCACUAACAUAUAAUAGCACAUAAACGUAUCACAUAACAUUACAUAAGCUAAACAUAUACUAACAACCCUUGCUCUAAGGCCUCGCCUAUCUCUGGGCCCCGCCCGAGUUCUGCUACUGAUGAUUCAUGGAACCUCGUCCAUACUCCUGUUGAUAGUGAGGUUCGGGCCCAGCCCACCCUCACUCCUUUCCUAACUUGGGCCCUGCCCCUGCUCUGCUGCUACUGAGAUAUGGAACACCAUCCACACUCUGCUAUUGGUGAGAUACGGGACCUCGCCCUCUCUCACCUCCCUACCAGGCACAUACAAGUAUCACACAGACAACAAGUAUAAACUAUCACAUAAACCGCUCCUUGGGCACCCGCCCUCUGUCAUUGGACCUCGUCCAAAUAUCAUACUAGCAUACUGUGCCUAGGGCUAACCCCCGGGUCUUCUACUCAUAACUACAUGGGCCGGCAUUGUGGCCGUAGACCCAUUCAUACAAAGGGAAACUCACCUGAUAUUGCUGAACUGCUGCUGCUAACCCCUUUGACCGCUACCUGACCGCUAACUCCGAACUGCUGCUCCGCUAGCUCCCCGAGCUACCAAUAACAACCCAACACUUAGUCUAACUGACCUCCAAAGGUCAACCAAGUCAACUCUGGUCAAAGUCAAUGUCCUGGUCAAAGUCAACCUUCCAGGUCAACCCUACUCGCCGAGUCACCCUACUGACUCGCCGAGUUCAUAAAUCCAGAGUCCUUCCACUCGCGACUCUACUCGCCGAGUCAGCCCCUGACUCGCCGAGUUUACUGAUUCCCGAUUCCUGUCCUGACCAACUCACUGAGUCCUGGCUCGACUCGCUGACUCGAGUCUUAACUCGAAGGGUUUGGGACCACUCGACCUGACUCGCCGAGUCUAAGAACAGACUCGCCGAGCACACGACAAACUUCAUCCAACUCGACGAGUUGUUCAUCCAACUCGCCGAGUUCAUGCCCAUCUUCAUCCGACUCGACGAGCUGUUCAUCCCACUCGUCGAGUUCCUCCUCAUCUUCAAGCUACUCGCCGAGUCCACUCGAAGGACUCGUCGAGUCCACUAAGAUCCACUUACAUGCAGAGGACUUCCGAGUCAUGCAUGAGCUCCAAACUAUAGAUCUACCCUCCCCAAGCCUAUUUCCCACGUAAAGUUGCAAACUUUACGUGUAGAGAGUGAGAUCUAGGCAAAAUACACCCAUAGCUAGGGUUUAGGACCAAGAGACUCCAAUUUCCACCCAAUGGCUGAUACUUUAUGGGAUUACAUACCAAAAUAAACAUGGAUCUGAGGUAGCAACCUCAGAUCUGGACCUCAAGCUCAAGAUUGGUCUUAAACAUGGCUUAAAAGCCCCAAAACUCAUAACCAAGGAAAAAUAUGGAGGAGAGAAACGAAUUGAUACCUUCCAAUGCUCUGAAAUGCUUCCCAAACUUCAGAUCCAAAGCCACUCCCUGAUGCUUCAAGGAUUCCCACUCCUUCUUCUUCCUUAAACCCACUCAAAAAUGGCUAGAAGCUUGAAUGAACACAAUGGGGGCUUAAGGUGCGGCGUUCUGGGUGCAAGAGGCUGUAAAGGAGCCCUAGGAAGAAGAUUAAGAUGCUUAAAUAGGCUCCAAGCCCCGGAUUUAGGGUUUUCCUCGCACAGACCAGACUCGCCGAGUCCACUUGGCCGACUCGUCGAGUUGGUCACUUUCUUAUCGACCCGGAUCCCGCUCCGACUCGCCGAGUCCUUCCUUUGACUCGUCGAGUCCCUCUUAAAUUUAGGGUUUCCUUUACUUUCUUGGCUUUCAAAAUCCUGGGUGUUACACGUGUUCUACUGGAAAGGAUUAUCCAAGUGCAUUUACACCUUUACGGGACCUAUGAUUGAUGGACAACGAUGGCAUUAAGUGUUGUGAAACGGAGACCAACGAUUUUAAACUUUAACUGAGUACUUACAACUAAAGAAAAAUGGGUCGAUAUUCACAAAAAAAUGGAUUGAUGAGAUAGUAUGCCACGUCGGCAUAGAGAAAAUAAAAUUAGGACAAAUGUAAGGAGAGGGGCUCGAACUUGGGAGCUCUCGGAUUAAAAACUUUAAGCAUCUUCCAGUACACCAAAUAUAAAUUGUAUAGCAAUAAAUUUAAACUAAAAGAUGAUUUGUAUAGCAAUAAAUUUAAACUAAAAGAUUUAAUAUGUUAGGAGAACGAUUUGAAGUUGAAACCUUAAGAUUGUGAGGCAACAUAGUUACUACUAAAUCAAAUCUUCUUUUUUGUCAAAUAGGAACAUUGUUGAUGUUCAUUUUGGGUUUCAUAUCAUGUCGGACUUAGGUGGGGUAGAUAUAGUUGAGGAAGAGAUGAAUAAAAGAAUCAGGACAAAGGUUACAGAAAAUACAUAUAAGAUGUUGAUAAGACUCCCAAUGACGGAUUUUAUCAUGUGUUUGGACGCGGUCUUUCAGGGCCAUCCAUAAGAUAAACACAUAAUGGAGAAUAUUUAAUUUGAGAGAACCACACAAGUUGAUGUUAGUUGACAACAGGUUCCUCCAGACGGAUACUAAGCAAAACAUCCCUAAUUGAGAACGGGGUGAAACCAACCUUAUUUAUCAAAUAGAAUGUAUCAUGGGAAGUGGGAGAGAUAGUGGAGGAGUGGCCACUAAGUGAAAUAUGAAUGUCAUGCCAUAGGUAAGAGCGGGCAGAACUACCAUUACAGACAAUGCCUUUUACAAUGGCAUCAAUGGAGAAACCAACUUUAUAGAUAAUGUGUGGGGUUUAAUACUAGAAACCAAUAUAGAGGUGAGGAAUGACAUUGAGUCUAGUUUUGACCUUAUCAACAUGAAAUUUGCAAUCUCGACGAAAUAAGCAGGUGGAGAUGAAUGAGCAGACACCAAGUUAAAUGAUGGAAGGGACCCUUUAGGGAAUCCGAUGGUUUGGUCGAUGGCAAUUCUAUCAUUCACACCCACUUUAUAGUAAAAGUCCUCACUCUUGGAAACAUUAGGGUGGAUGUAGAGAUCUUAGAGAACUCAAGGGGAGUCAUAUAUGACAUAGACAUACGGAUUAUCACCGUGAAAGAAAAUGAUAAGGUUGGCAGCAAAACAAAGAUAUGUGAUAUUUUGCUUCUCACAAUUCCUAUGGAACUUGAAGGCAUCAGAGUCGAUAAUCUUUUGGUUUUAAAUACAAUUUAAAUCGUAUAUAUACAUAUAAAUACAUAUAAAUAUGUUUUUUAAGUAAAAUAUGUAUUGUUUUUGUAUUUACACAUAUAAGUACAAUAAAAAACUAUUUUACGUAUAAAUAUUUGUUUUUACAAAUAGAUGUUAUAUUAUUUAUAAACAGAGUAAAAGUAUAUAGUUUUACAUAAUAAUAUGUAGAAAUACAUAUAUUAUAUUUAUAAACCCUAAUUUUAUAAAUAAGCAAAGUAUAAAUGCAUAUUUUGACAUAUUUUAUCAUAUAAAUUAGUAUUUUUACAAAUAAACAAAGUAUAGAUACAUAUUUUAUAAUAUAAUUAUGUAUUUUUACAAAUAAAAAAUAUAAAUAUGUAUUUUUACUAAUAAAAAAAGUAUAAGUAUCUAGUUCAUCAUAUAAUCACAUAUUCUAUGUAUAACUAUGCAAUGUUUUAAAAACCGGUUUUUAGUUGAACCGGUAUGAUGACUGGUUCCGGUUUAACUGAUUCGACCGCCAGGUCAACCAACUUCUAUAAUUUUCAUCUUUUUUCCUAUUUUCCUAUUCAUACAUGCAUAUAUAAAUUAUUAAUUUAACGUUUACAAGUUCAAAUAUUAAAAAUACAUAUAAAAAUAAGUUGUAGAUCAAUCCAAAUACAUUAAAAUAGCACAUAACCAUAAAUAUUAGUGUUUUACAUCAAUCCAUAUACGUCAAAAAUAAAUAAAUUAUAAUACCAAAACAAAUAUAGUUUUAGAUAAAUACAAACACAUCAAAAAACUUUAUAGAUGAAUACAAAUACAUCAAAAAACUUUAUGACAUUUACCAUAUGUUUUUAUUUGAAGAAAACUAGAUAGAUUGGAAAAAAAAUUACCAAACUUUAUUAUGCAAAUGGUUCUUUUCUAUGUGUUUUUAUUCGGUUUAACCAAUUUAUUUUGACCCGUUCAACCGGGUUUUUCUAAAAAGCGGCCGGUUCAAUCCGGUUCAGAAAUCAACGUAAAACCGGUGAUAGUUAAACCGCUCAUUCUCUUGGUUCCCGGUCCAACCGGUUUGACCAGUCAGUUCAAACCAGUUUUUAAAACAUUGUAACUAUGUGUUUUACAAAUAAAAAAAUAUAUAAAUACUUAAUUUUACAAAUUAACACAAUAUAAAAACAUUUUUUUAUAAGAUAAAGUUAUGUAUUUAUAUGUAAAAUUUACAUUUUUAAGCUGGAUUUUUGUAUUUAUACAUAUACAUACCUAAAUAAUAGUAUGUAUUUAAAUUUUAACAUAAUUACAUAAGAAAAGUAUGUUUGCAUAUGUAUUUGUAUAAAUUCGUUUACAACGUAUUUUAAAAAAGUAUUGUCUUCUAUAUAGCUUUAAGUUCUUGGGUUUACAUCCUUGUCCUAACACUUCAAUCUUUUAAAUUUGACUUAUUUCCAUACUGAUUAUAUUUAAUGAGAAAGAUAUUGCUUACAAAAUUGAAACUUGGUGUAGUGGUACUGUGGUAGAGAGGUCGGUAUCUCAAGUUUGAAUCAAUGUGGAUCCACCAUGUUUGCAAUUUCAUUUCACUAACAAAUGCUAUGGUUUUUAUUAUUAUUUGGUGGCUUCAACUUAGGAAUGUCUUUAUGACAAUUGGUAUAUUACAUAAUGCACAUAUAGCCUAAAUGGGUGUUACCCCAUACUCGCAAUCUGUUGGUGGUAACAAUUUGAGUGUUGAAUUGCUCUCACUAAUAGAAAACAUUCAAAUCGACUAGUUGACACAAAAGCCUAAUCUCAUGUGACAUUACAAUUUACAAAAGACUGUAUAAACAAGUAAACACAUUUUGACUGUUGGCUGUGCCUGAAAAAUGGAGUAGUCAGGUUUUACAUUUUCAUAUACACCUUGUGCAAAUUUGAAAACAUCAAAUUGUUAAAAAAACCAACGCCUAUGAUUCCUUUGUACAAAUGGAUGUUCCUUGUUCCAAUCGAUCAACUAAAGCGCUGCUAAAUUUACAAGCAGCACCAACCGUCUGUCCUCUUGUAAUCAAUAAAACUAAUUUUGCACAAAAUAUGGCAACUGUAUUCUAAAGAGCGAAAUUUUUAGGCUAAAAGAAAUUUGACUAGUGACUUGACAGGGGCCGCGCGAACGCAGGCCCCCACUGGCACAAAUUAUGACGUAGGUUCGACCACUUGGGCCGACCUUAAGCUAACGCCCCUCCUGAGUGCAAUGGAGGUCGCCAACUUAGGCCAUGGACCUUCUUGAUCAACCAUUGACCCCGUCCAGGUAAGUGAGUAAUUCAUUGGCCUCCCUCUUCUUUUAUACUACUCGUCCAUACUCCCACAUUUGCUAACCGGUCGAUGUGGGACAAAAAGAACCCUCUCAAUCUCAUAUCUCUGGCACAUGCCUCUCUUUAUCGAUAACAAUAGGAACUGAUUUUUAGUCUUAUUAUCAUCAAACAAUUUUUAUACUGUUAUUGUAUCCAACUUCAUGGUAAUCAUCUAGUUGUUAUAAUGGUUUCGAAACAUAAACAAUCAAACGCCCCUCGAUGCUUUUUCAUUAAAACUUCCAUUCAAAAUUACCACUAUUGUUCUUUAACAACUUAUAAAGGAUCUUUAUGUCAACUUUUAACCAACACUUCGUUGCAUAGGAGGAACUACAAAUGUGCAAGAAGCCAAUAAUAUCAAUAUAAUGGCACGAAAGUUAAGUGAUAUAAAAAAGUUGUAACAUAAGUACAUAACUACUCUAUUGUCAUGUUCAAAGACUCCAUUACUUAAAAAAUACCAUCUUUUUUAUCGUGAUUUCUGUAUGGAUUUGCAUAUUUAAUACUUUGUUCUUUAACAACUUGCAAAAUGAUAUUUAUGUUGAUUUUUAGCCAAGAUUUAUUGCAUAAGAAGGACUAGGAGUGUACAAGAAACCAAGAAUUCUAAUAAAAUAGCAAAGAAAAAGGGUCAGAUUUUUCCACCCAAAUAACCCAACGUUUGCAAAGAGGGCGUCUUUUCCCUACAUAAUCGUCAUCUUCUGCAUAUAAAGGAAGACUUGAACAUUGCAGAAGGAAGAUCACAGAAAACUACUUCUCCCUGCAUAUUUGUCUCUCAAUAACACAAUAACAGCACAAGGUAUUUUGUGCUUGAGCUUCUAAUUAAGCAAGUAAUCAGAAUCGUUUUCUUAGAUUAUCCCUUGAUCUGAAUUCAUGUGACUCUAGGUGAAGGGUUGAAUUACAUAUUUCAGAAAGUGUUUAUACACGAUCCAGGCUUAUUUCGAAAAAUGUUUAUCCAAGUUUAUUGUUAUUCAAAAUCCCUAAAUCUAACACUAGAUUUCCUUCGUAAGAGUAAGAGUAGUAAAAAGAAAAAGAACGUAACCAUGACACAAUAUAUCAUUGUGUGCCUGAUUCACUCUAUUAUUAUGUCAAUUUCAAAACUAUUAUUCAAUAGUAAAACUAAUAAGGAACAAUUCUAGCAACCCCCCAUUUAUUUAUAUGUAUAAAGCAUAAUAAGGUCUAUAUGAUAAGUUGUAAAUAGUAGUUAAGAGUACAUAAUGUAUAGCCUAGUUUGGUGUUUUAGCCAAAUCUUUUGGCAAUCAGUCCUUGAAUAGAACCAAUCAAAGCAAAUAUCGAUACAAACAAACAAACAAUGGUGAAGAUACGAAGAAGAACCCACUUGAAUGUCCAAGAUACAAUCAUUUUGUGCACAAAAUACAUCUCAAUAGGGAAGUAAACAACCAAUGGCCAGAAGGUGACUGAUCCUGCAAACGCAACCACUUCAUUGAAAUAAGGGAAUACCAUUGCUAUGCUUGUCGUUAAUACCACAUAUGAUGUUCUAAAACACAACCGAACAGGAUUCAACCUAAUCUCCAAAAUCUCAAAAUCACUCAUGAAUUCACUUCCAGCGUACUUUUCAGCAUACCAUCUUUCCACUAUCGCGUAUAACGUCUGACAAAAUAUCUGGAAGAAAAAAAAAAAAAAAAAGUACUAGAUCAACACUAGUUUCCGCUUUUGGGUCCCGUUUCAAUAUAUAAUAUUCAAAGCUAAUCACAAAAAUGACCAAAAAGUGUGUUUACCUGAUAUCCUCCAAUUAAGUGAAGGAAAACACAUGCGUUAGCCAAAUCAAUGAGCCAAUACGGUUCGUAAAAUCCAAACCCGGUUAAGAUGUUCCCAGGAGUCGAGUUCCCGAAUGCUGCAUAUCCAAAUCCACCACAACAGAGGUAAAAAAUGGUAGUCGUAAAAACUGCAAUACUUGAGGCCUUCUUCAUGGUGACUUCUUUAUGUGGAGGUGAUUUCAAUGUACUCUUCAUAUUUAACAAAAUUACAAUCAACACAGUUUAUAACUAUACCUGUUGUUUUUUUCAAUUAAUUAAUCAUCACCUGUAUUUCAAGAAAAACUAAAGGAAAAGGAUAGGAGAAUGCGAUGUCUCCAAUAGCUUGAGCAACCAACCAUACUUUCUGAAUCGGUUUAUCAGUUGGAACUCCACCUAUGCUACCUUCAAUCUUUCCGUUUCCUGUAUUUUUUUUUUUAAAAAAAAGAAACAAAAUUUUCACCUGUCUUAUGAAGAAAUGCGAUUCUAUUUGUUCCUUUGAAGAUGGGAAUCAGUAAUUCCAUACCUAUUGUAUGGGCUAACCCAAGUCCGGAUCCAAUGAGGGAAUACGUGAAGGACAUAAUUGCAGCAGUAACCGAGAGCCAUUUUGUAGUAUGGAAAUUGGGUAUUUGAGAAGCUAUGAUUUGAAUAAUUCCAAAUAAAAGCAUGUAAGAAGUCAGGGCAUAUUCACAAUCAGCUUCAUGCCCUUGUUCAUGGUAACAAUUCGACUGCUCAAUUGCUCUGUCAGCAAAAAAUUCACUUCAAUAAUUAGACUAAAAAGAAAAACUACCAUUAUAAACAGUUGCCAAAAAGAAGCAUGCCUAAUGCUGAUUGCAGAUGUAAUUGUGUAAACAACUCCUAACUUGAAUAAGUUGAAGUAAGCCAAGAAUGCACAAAUCCUCGCACUCAAACCCCCUGUGACAUUAGGAAAACUGUUGAAGCAAGUAAACGCGUUCAGGUAUCUUAUCAAACAAUGGAGGUUAGGAUUGUCUUUUACCUAAUAGGUUUUGUACAGCUUGCACGUAGGAAUGAUUGGUAAUGGUUUGUCCAUUGAUAGGGUCUGAAUAAUGAUGGAAAUUGGUGAGAAGGGAUGCAUUUAGGAAGGUGACAAGUGCAAAUAGAAGGAGAGUCAAUGGACCAGCAACCCAUCCAAGCUGUGCUACACUCCAAGACAGAGAUAGAACUCCUGACCCUAUUACUGCGGUUAUUAUAUGUGCAACAGCUGUCCAUACAUUCCCUUCAUCAAUAACCAAAUGGACAUCUAAGAAACCAUCGAUAUAAUGUUCCAAAAUCAAUUAUGGGGUUCGUUUCAUUAGUGUUGGCUGUGACUAGAAAUAUGAGUGGUUAGAUUUUCAUUUUCACAAACACCUGGUGUGCAUAAUCUACUGAAGCGAAAACAGAUGAGCGUUUUAAAUAAAUAGAACCACAAAAACCUACAUCUAUGAAGACAGCUUUCAACAAGUUUAUCUAAAUCGGUGGUCAUUUUACAAGGUUCUUAUCAAUGAUCACGAAAAACAGUUGACUUCUUGCUGAAUACCAAGAAAAAAAGGAAAGUUAAAGACUAGAAAUACAGGAAACAAGCAAACCAGUCAUGUUAUGGGAAGUUCUCAGCAACAACGGUUUAUCGAUCUCGACAUCUUCCUGAUAUUCAGCCAUUACUGGUUUGAGGACUCAAAGCGAAAAUGAAAUAAUAUGAAUUCCGAUUGAAGGACGAAAUUAAAAGAAAAAAUUGACUAGAGAAUUGACGGGGGCCGCGCGAACGCAGGCCCCCACUAGCACAAAUUAUGACGUAGGCUCGACCACUUGGGCCGACCUUAAGCUAACGCCCCUCCUGAGUGCAAUGGAGGUCGCCAACUUAGGCCAUGGACCUUCUUGAUCAACCAUUGACCCCGUCCAGGUAAGUGAGUAAUCCAUUGGCCUCCCUCUCUUUUUAUACUACUCACCCCUACUCCCACAUUUGCGAACCGGUCGAUGUGGGACAAAAAGAACUCAUAUAUUUCUAGCACAUACUCUCUUUCUCGGAAGCAAUUUUGAUUAAUUUGUCCAACAAAUUUCAUUGGUUU